GAUGAACGCUGGCGGCGUGCCUAAUACAUGCAAGUCGAGCGAACAGACGAGGAGCUUGCUCCUCUGACGUUAGCGGCGGACGGGUGAGUAAUACGUGGAUAACUUACCUAUAAGACUGGGAUAACUUCGGGAAACCGGAGCUAAUACCGGAUAAUAUAUUGAACCGCAUGGUUCAAUAGUGAAAGACGGUUUUGCUGUCACUUAUAGAUGGAUCCGCGCCGCAUUAGCUAGUUGGUAAGGUAACGGCUUACCAAGGCAACGAUGCGUAGCCGACCUGAGAGGGUGAUCGGCCACACUGGAACUGAGACACGGUCCAGACUCCUACGGGAGGCAGCAGUAGGGAAUCUUCCGCAAUGGGCGAAAGCCUGACGGAGCAACGCCGCGUGAGUGAUGAAGGUCUUCGGAUCGUAAAACUCUGUUAUUAGGGAAGAACAAAUGUGUAAGUAACUAUGCACGUCUUGACGGUACCUAAUCAGAAAGCCACGGCUAACUACGUG
rnacentral:rRNA from 1 species